UACGGCCAUAGAAUUGAGAAAGCAUUGGGUCCCGUCUGCUCCCCGUAAUGAUAACCUCAAUAUCGCUCAGUUAGUACCAUCGUGGGGGACCAGGUGGGAAUCCCGGGUGCUGUAGUU